CCGAUAUAUUCUCCUAGCAUUCUCUCACAGUUCACAUCAGGAGUAGCUGAGAAGUCCAACCUGGAAUAUCGAGUAAGUCCAUUAUGAGAGGAUGUUCCAGUUGAUACCGAUGAGCAAUCAAUCCUGGUAUGGAGAAAGAAUCUCUUUCUUUCUGUUAGAUUGAGAUUAAAGUAUUUCCAAGUUAUGUAAUAAUCCAGCAGCUUCUUUGGUGUCUAGAUAUAAUGCUUUACAAUAUGAAGGUAACUCAUCAUGAAACCAUAACAUAAACUUUUGCCAUCAUGAUGUAUUAGUAGUGAAAGGAAAACCCCAAGUGAUAAGGUAAGGCAACUUGACAGAGAGACUUUGUUAGUGACAUCAGUGCCUUCUUUUGCAGUAAAGUCUCCCAGGAGAUAACUUAAUACACAGUGACCUUUUUGGCCACAAUGGGAUUUUUCUUUAUGUUGCGGGCCUGUUUCAUAAUGUUCUCCACUGUGUGCUGUAAGAGAGAGGAGGAAGAUAUUUCCCUAAGAUCAUGAUAAGACCUAUUCAAGCUCAAUUACUAUUUCCAAAAGGCAACCUAGGAUGGUAUUAAACAGAUGGGCUUGUGUAAAAACAGUCAUUUGUGGUUUGCCUUCUCUGAUAUCCUAAAUAAUCC